AAAAAANGAAAAUUUUCACUAAAAAAUUUUACUUUU
rnacentral:rRNA from 1 species